rnacentral:rRNA from 1 species
CCUACGGGAGGCAACAGUGGGGAAUAUUGGACAAUGGGGGGAACCCUGAUCCAGCCAUGCCGCGUGUGUGAAGAAGGCCCUCAGGUUGUAAAGCACUUUCAGUGAGGAAGAACGCCUGGUGGUUAAUACCCAUCAGGAAAGACAUCACUCACAGAAGAAGCACCGGCUAACUCCGUGCCAGCAGCCGCGGUAAUACGGAGGGUGCGAGCGUUAAUCGGAAUUACUGGGCGUAAAGCGCGCGUAGGUGGCUUGAUAAGCCGGUUGUGAAAGCCCCGGGCUCAACCUGGGAACGGCAUCCGGAACUGUCAAGCUAGAGUGCAGGAGAGGAAGGUAGAAUUCCCGGUGUAGCGGUGAAAUGCGUAGAGAUCGGGAGGAAUACCAGUGGCGAAGGCGGCCUUCUGGACUGACACUGACACUGAGGUGCGAAAGCGUGGGUAGCAAACAGGAUUAGAUACCCCUGUAGUC